CCUACGGGUGGCAGCAGUGAGGAAUAUUGGUCAAUGGGCGCGAGCCUGAACCAGCCAAGUAGCGUGAAGGAUGACUGCCCUAUGGGUUGUAAACUUCUUUUAUAAAGGAAUAAAGUGAGGCACGUGUGCCUUUUUGUAUGUACUUUAUGAAUAAGGAUCGGCUAACUCCGUGCCAGCAGCCGCGGUAAUACGGAGGAUCCGAGCGUUAUCCGGAUUUAUUGGGUUUAAAGGGCGCGUAGACGGCGUGUUAAGUCAGUGGUGAAAGUCUGCGGCUCAACCGUAAAAUUGCAAUUGAUACUGGGAGGCUUGAGUAUAGUUGAGGUAGGCGGAAUUCGUGGUGUAGCGGUGAAAUGCUUAGAUAUCACGCAGAACCCCGAUUGCGAAGGCAGCCUACCAAGCCAUGACUGACACUGAUGCACGAAAGCGUGGGGAUCAAACAGGAUUAGAUACCCGUGUAGUC
rnacentral:rRNA from 1 species